rnacentral:rRNA from 1 species
UGGGGAAUUUUGGACAAUGGGCGAAAGCCUGAUCCAGCAAUGCCGCGUGUGUGAAGAAGGCCUUCGGGUUGUAAAGCACUUUUGUCCGGAAAGAAAUCCUUGGCUCUAAUACAGUCGGGGGAUGACGGUACCGGAAGAAUAAGCACCGGCUAACUACGUGCCAGCAGCCGCGGUAAUACGUAGGGUGCAAGCGUUAAUCGGAAUUACUGGGCGUAAAGCGUGCGCAGGCGGUUUGCUAAGACCGAUGUGAAAUCCCCGGGCUCAACCUGGGAACUGCAUUGGUGACUGGCAGGCUAGAGUAUGGCAGAGGGGGGUAGAAUUCCACGUGUAGCAGUGAAAUGCGUAGAGAUGCGGAGGAAUACCGAUGGCGAAGGCAGCCCCCUGGGCCAAUACUGACGCUCAUGCACGAAAGCGUGGGGAGCAAACAGGAUUAGAUACCCUGGUAGUCCACGCCCUAAACGAUGUCAACUAGUUGUUGGGGAUUCAUUUCCUUAGUAACGUAGCUAACGCGUGAAGUUGACCGCCUGGGGAGUACGGUCGCAAGAUUAAAACUCAAGGAAUUGACGGGGUCAUAGCUG